CAACACCUCAGUUCGGUUGGUCUUGUACCGGCUUGGGCUGGUUUUGAGCCCGGACGGCCCCUUUUCUAAGCGGGUUCCGGCUUUAAAGUUGUACGCUCUGCGGUACCCUCCGCCUCACGAACAUAGUAUAACAGCUAACUGUCCGUUGGGUUUUGCGGUUGGGUUUGCUGCCUGAACAAACUUAUUUUUUAAG
rnacentral:misc_RNA from 1 species